rnacentral:rRNA from 1 species
UACGAACUGUGCGAACGUUAUUCGGAAUCACUGGGCUUACAGGGUGCGUAGGCGGCUCAACAAGUCAGGUGUGAAAGCCCCCGGCUCAACCGGGGAACUGCGCUUGAAACUGUUAGGCUCGAGUCAGCUAGAGGUACACGGAACUUCCAGUGGAGCGGUGAAAUGUGUUGAUAUUGGAAGGAACACCAGUGGCGAAGGCGGUCCCCUGGGCCGGAACUGACGCUGAGGCGCGAAAGCGUGGGUAGCAAACGGG